AACGCUAGCUACAGGCUUAACACAUGCAAGUCGAGGGGCAGCAUGGUCUUAGCUUGCUAAGGCCGAUGGCGACCGGCGCACGGGUGAGUAACGCGUAUCCAACCUGCCUUACACUCUUGGACAGCCUUCUGAAAGGGAGAUUAAUACAAGAUGUUAUCAUGAGUAAGCAUUUUCGCAUGAUUAAAGGUUUACCGGUGUAAGAUGGGGAUGCGUUCCAUUAGAUAGUAGGCGGGGUAACGGCCCACCUAGUCUUCGAUGGAUAGGGGUUCUGAGAGGAAGGUCCCCCACAUUGGAACUGAGACACGGUCCAAACUCCUACGGGAGGCAGCAGUGAGGAAUAUUGGUCAAUGGACGAGAGUCUGAACCAGCCAAGUAGCGUGAAGGAUGAAGGUUCUAUGGAUUGUAAACUUCUUUUAUACGGGAAUAAACGGAUCCACGUGUGGAUUUUUGCAUGUACCGUAUGAAUAAGGAUCGGCUAACUCCGUGCCAGCAGCCGCGGUAAUACGGAGGAUCCGAGCGUUAUCCGGAUUUAUUGGGUUUAAAGGGAGCGUAGAUGGGUUGUUAAGUCAGUUGUGAAAGUUUGCGGCUCAACCGUAAAAUUGCAAUUGAUACUGGCAGUCUUGAGUACAGUUGAGGUAGGCGGAAUUCGUGGUGUAGCGGUGAAAUGCUUAGAUAUCACGAAGAACUCCGAUUGCGAAGGCAGCUUACUAACCUGUAACUGACAUUGAUGCUCGAAAGUGUGGGUAUCAAACAGGAUUAGAUACCCUGGUAGUCCACACGGUAAACGAUGAAUACUCGCUGUAGGCGAUAUACAGUCUGCGGCCAAGCGAAAGCAUUAAGUAUUCCACCUGGGGAGUACGCCGGCAACGGUGAAACUCAAAGGAAUUGACGGGGGCCCGCACAAGCGGAGGAACAUGUGGUUUAAUUCGAUGAUACGCGAGGAACCUUACCCGGGCUUAAAUUGCAACCGAAUAUGGCGGAAACGCUAUAGCUAGCAAUAGCGGUUGUGAAGGUGCUGCAUGGUUGUCGUCAGCUCGUGCCGUGAGGUGUCGGCUUAAGUGCCAUAACGAGCGCAACCCUUGCCGAUAGUUACUAACAGGUCAUGCUGAGGACUCUGUCGGGACUGCCAUCGUAAGAUGUGAGGAAGGUGGGGAUGACGUCAAAUCAGCACGGCCCUUACGUCCGGGGCUACACACGUGUUACAAUGGGGGGUACAGAGGGCUGCUACCACGCAAGUGGAUGCCAAUCCCAAAAACCUCUCUCAGUUCGGAUUGAAGUCUGCAACCCGACUUCAUGAAGCUGGAUUCGCUAGUAAUCGCGCAUCAGCCACGGCGCGGUGAAUACGUUCCCGGGCCUUGUACACACCGCCCGUCAAGCCAUGGGAGCCGGGGGUACCUGAAGUGCGUAACCGCAAGGAGCGCCCUAGGGUAAAACUGGUGACUGGGGC
rnacentral:rRNA from 1 species